GUUGGUGAACCAGCGGAGGGAUCAUUACCGAGUUAACAAACUCCCAAACCCUAUGUGAACAUACCUAGUUGCUUCGGCGGUACCGCCCCGGCGCCCUCGGGCCCGGGCCAAGGCGGCCGCCGGGGACCCUACAAACUCUUGCUUCAGCGGGCUCGCCCCGCGGGAAUUAUCUGAGUCAAAAACAAAACAAAUAAAAACUUUCAACAACGGAUCUCUUGGUUCUG
rnacentral:misc_RNA from 1 species